rnacentral:rRNA from 1 species
UCGAGCCUUAGUGGCGCACGGGUGCGUAACGCGUGGGAAUCUGCCCUUGGGUUCGGAAUAACAGUGAGAAAUUACUGCUAAUACCGGAUGAUGUCGAAAGACCAAAGAUUUAUCGCCCGAGGAUGAGCCCGCGUAGGAUUAGCUAGUUGGUGAGGUAAGAGCUCACCAAGGCGACGAUCCUUAGCUGGUCUGAGAGGAUGAUCAGCCACACUGGGACUGAGACACGGCCCAGACUCCUACGGGAGGCAGCAGUGGGGAAUAUUGGACAAUGGGCGAAAGCCUGAUCCAGCAAUGCCGCGUGAGUGAUGAAGGCCUUAGGGUUGUAAAGCUCUUUUACCCGGGGAUGAUAAUGACAGUACCGGGAGAAUAAGCCCCGGCUAACUCCGUGCCAGCAGCCGCGGUUAUACGGAGGGGGCU